GCCGGGUGUAGUGGCGCAUGCCUGUAAUCCCAGCUACUUGGGAGGCUGAGGUAGGAGAAUUGCUUGAACCCGGGAGACAGAGGUUGCAGUGAGCUGAGAUUGUGCCACUGCACUCCAGCCUGGGUGACAGGGCAAGACUCCGUCUCAA
rnacentral:SRP_RNA from 1 species